ensembl:snoRNA
AAGCUCUGUAAAGAAAGAGACCUUCUUUAAGAGGCCAACACAGAAGGGUAAAGGAGCUUUCCAUAAAACCUAGAGAAGAGAUUGUACAUCUCUUCUGGAGCACAACUGGGAGUUGGGGG